UACAGGGGGGGCAAGCGUUGUUCGGAAUUACUGGGCGUAAAGGGCGCGUAGGCGGCCAACUAAGUCACACGUGAAAUCCCCAGGCUUAACCUGGGAACUGCGUGUGAUACUGGAUGGCUUGAAUUCGGGAGAGGGAUGCAGAAUUCCAGGUGUAGCGGUGAAAUGCGUAGAUAUCUGGAGGAAUACCGGUGGCGAAGGCGGCAUCCUGGACCGACAUUGACGCUGAGGCGCGAAAGCGUGGGGAGCGAACAGG
rnacentral:rRNA from 1 species